CGUGUCCUACGGGGGGCAGCAGUGGGGAAUAUUGCACAAUGGGGGAAACCCUGAUGCAGCGACGCCGCGUGAAGGACGAAGUAUUUCGGUACGUAAACUUCUAUCAGCAGGGAAGAAAAUGACGGUACCUGACCAAGAAGCCCCGGCUAACUACGUGCCAGCAGCCGCGGUAAUACGUAGGGGGCAAGCGUUAUCCGGAUUUACUGGGUGUAAAGGGAGCGUAGGCGGCGAUGCAAGUCAGAAGUGAAAGCCCGGGGCUCAACUCCGGGACUGCUUUUGAAACUGUGUUGCUAGAUUGCAGGAGG
rnacentral:rRNA from 1 species